GACGAACGCUGGCGGCGUGCCUAAUACAUGCAAGUUGAGCGAUGAAGCUUGGUGCUUGCACCAAUUUGAAGAGCAGCGAACGGGUGAGUAACGCGUGGGGAAUCUGCCUUUGAGCGGGGGACAACAUUUGGAAACGAAUGCUAAUAUCGCAUAACAACUUUAAACAUAAGUUUUAAGUUUGAAAGAUGCAAUUGCAUCACUCAAAGAUGAUCCCGCGUUGUAUUAGCUAGUUGGUGAGGUAAAGGCUCACCAAGGCGAUGAUACAUAGCCGACCUGAGAGGGUGAUCGGCCACAUUGGGACUGAGACACGGCCCAAACUCCUACAGGAGGCAGCAGUAGGGAAUCUUCGGCAAUGGGCGAAAGUCUGACCGAGCAACGCCGCGUGAGUGAAGAAGGUUUUCGGAUCGUAAAACUCUGUUGGUAGAGAAGAACGUUGGUGAGAGUGGAAAGCUCAUCAAGUGACGGUAACUACCCAGAAAGGGACGGCUAACUACGUG
rnacentral:rRNA from 1 species